rnacentral:sRNA from 1 species
CUGAUGAUCUGUGAAAAGAGUGGAAAACGAGAACUUUGUGUUAGAUACAAUUGUUGAAUGGCUGGUCAAGACAAAUUAUGAGUGCCCUCUAUUUGGCCCCUUGAAGACAUUGAUAUGAUGAGACUGAAGAUAUGUGUUGGACUAUUUGUUGCUCGAUGAGCAGGACACAGUUCCAUUGGAAAUUAGGAUGUGUUCUCCCAGAAACCUCUACCAGAAAGGCAUGCACUAUUCUGUUUCAUGUGCUUGUUGUUCAUCUUGUGUGCCUUACCUUACCAUGGUUAACAAUUUGUUAUCCAUCAAGUGUAGUUCUGGAAUAAUAAAGAAACUUCAAUUU